rnacentral:lncRNA from 1 species
AAGAGGGGGGUCUGGUAUGGGGAGGCCUCUAACCCUGCUAUCUGACCAGGCUGGGGUCAGGGGCAAGCAGCACCUGGCCAUGCAGGGAAACUGCCACCUUCAGCUCCAUCUGCCCCAGGUUCCCUAAAAUCAGACUCUGUCAUCGGCAAGUGGAGACUGUAACAGACUGGGACCCUCACAUGCCGAUAGGCAGUCAAGAAUAUUUUCUGGGGGCUGGAGAGAUGGGCUCAGCAGUUAAGAACACUGACUGCUCUUCCGGAGGUCCUGUGUUCAAAUCCCAGCAACCACAGGGUGACUCACAACCAUCUGUAAUGAGAUCUGAUGCCCUCUUCGGGUGUGUCUGAAGACACCCACAGUGUCCUUACAUAUAAUAAAUAAAUAAAUCUUUUUUUAAA